rnacentral:rRNA from 1 species
UGAAUACGAGACGCUAAGGCGUCGAAGUAGUGUAUGUCAUACUUCCAAGAAAAGCUUGCACUGUCAUAGAUAAAAAACGCCUGUACCAUAACCGACACAGGUGGGUAGGUAGAGUAUACUAAGGGGCGCGAGAUAACUCUCUCUAAGGAACUCGGCAAAAUAACUCCGUAACUUCGGGAGAAGGAGUGCCUUAUUCGUAAGGUUGCAAUAACAAGAUCCAAGCAACUGUUUAUCAAAAACACAGGUCUCCGCUAAGUCGUAAGACGAUGUAUGGGGGCUGACGCCUGCCCAGUGCCAGAAGGUUAAAGAAGUUGGUUAGCAAUUGCGAAGCUGAUAACUGAAGCCCUGGUGAACGGCGGCCGUAACGAUAACGGUCCUAAGGUAGCGAAAUUCCUUGUCGGGUAAGUUCCGACCCGCACGAAAGGCGUAAUGAUUUGGAUACUGUCUCGGAGAGGGGCUCGGUGAAAUAGACUUGUCUGUGAAGAUGCGGACUACCUGCACCAGGACAGAAAGACCCUAUGAAGCUUUACUGUAACUUGAAAUUGAAAUUGGACUUUAUUCGCGCAGUAUAGGUGGGAGGCGUUGAUUAUAAUCUUGUGGGAUUAUUGGAGCCAUCAGUGAGAUACCACUCUUGUAAUGUUAGAUUUCUAACUUUGAAUCAUUAUCUGGUCAAAGAACAGUUUCAGGCGGGCAGUUUGACUGGGGCGGUCGCCUCCUAAACGGUAACGGAGGCGUACAAAGGUUUCCUCUGAACGGUUAGAAAUCGUAUCUAGAGUGUAAAGGCAUAAGGAAGCUUGACUGUGAGACCUACAAGUCGAGCAGGGACGAAAGUCGGUCUUAGUGAUCUGACGGUACUGAGUGGAAAGGCCGUCACUCAACGGAUAAAAGUUACUCUAAGGAUAACAGGCUGAUCUCCCCCAAGAGUUCACAUCGACGGGGAGGUUUGGCACCUCGAUGUCGGCUCAUCGCAUCCUGGGGCGGUAGUACGUCCCAAGGGUUGGGCUGUUCGCCCAUGAAAGCGGUACGCGAGCUGGGUUCAGAACGUCGUGAGACAGUUCGGUCCAUAUCCGGUGUAGGCGUUAGAAUAUUGAGAGGAGCCUUCUUUAGUACGAGAGGACCGAGAAGGACAUACCUCUGGUGUACCAGUUAUCGUGCCAACGGUAAACGCUGGGUAGCUAUGUAUGGAGUGGAUAACCGCUGAAAGCAUCUAAGUGGGAAGCCCACCUCAAGAUAAGUAUUCUCA